rnacentral:rRNA from 1 species
GAAGGCAAGCGGAUCUCUUAAAGCUGUUCUCAGUUCGGACUGCAGUCUGCAACUCGACUGCACGAAGCUGGAAUCGCUAGUAAUCGCGGAUCAGCACGCCGCGGUGAAUACGUUCCCGGGCCUUGUACACACCGCCCGUCACACCAUGGAAGUCUGCAAUGCCCGAAGCCGGUGGCCUAACCACUUAUGUGGAAGGAGCCGUCUAAGGCAGGGCAGAUGACUGGGGUGAAGUCGUAACAAGGUAGC